rnacentral:rRNA from 1 species
AGUGAGCGGAUGAACUGAGGGUAGCGGAGAAAUUCCAAUCGAACCUGGAGAUAGCUGGUUCUCUCCGAAAUAGCUUUAGGGCUAGCCUCAAGUGAUGAUUAUUGGAGGUAGAGCACUGUUUGGACGAGGGGCCCCUCUCGGGUUACCGAAUUCAGACAAACUCCGAAUGCCAAUUAAUUUAACUUGGGAGUCAGAACAUGGGUGAUAAGGUCCGUGUUCGAAAGGGAAACAGCCCAGACCACCAGCUAAGGUCCCAAAAUAUAUGUUAAGUGGAAAAGGAUGUGGCGUUGCCCAGACAACUAGGAUGUUGGCUUAGAAGCAGCCAUCAUUUAAAGAGUGCGUAAUAGCUCACUAGUCGAGUGACACUGCGCCGAAAAUGUACCGGGGCUAAACAUAUUACCGAAGCUGUGGAUUGUCCUUUGGACAAUGGUAGGAGAGCGUUCUAAGGGCGUUGAAGCAUGAUCGUAAGGACAUGUGGAGCGCUUAGAAGUGAGAAUGCCGGUGUGAGUAGCGAA